GAUUUUGUUUUCAAUGUGCGCCAUUUUUGCAAACAAACAAUUUUGCGAUAAAUUCUUUAUGCGGUCGAGAAGACCCUUAAAUAUCUGGGAUGAUGAUCUUCCACGACUCCGGCAAUUAUCCGGAGAUUACCUCCCGAUCGGCGGUAACGGCGGUGAAAAAGCCGUCGGAAAGGUGCUGUGACCUUCGAUAUACGAAGAGGGCGGUCACCGGAAGAUGAUUCGCAACAAGCUGUUGAUAUCGGGAAGUCCAACAAGACCAGGAGCCUGUUGUCUGGCGGAUUUGGUAUAUGAAAAGCGGCUUCCGGUCCACCAUGUCGUCCAAGAACUUUGUCAUCACGCACCACUCGCAGCAGGUCGGUCGGAGCUGCCCUCGCAGCCAAUCGAGUAACCAUCACCUACACCGAGGCCGUCGUCAUGAGCGAGCAUAAGCCUCGGGAACUGGAAUCAGAAAAUAAAUGCUACCGCAGGCGUAGCCCGGAUUCCGUUAGAGCUUUUCUAAAAUUGUGAAAAAAGUGUAAAAGUGAAAAUUUGU